UUUAUGGUUAUAAUAUAUUGAUUCUGAUGAUUGGUUAGGUACUUAGUUUUGUUAAUAUUGAUUUUUAGGCUUAUUUGCUCUGAUUUCUUGUUUAGUUCUUCAAUCAUACUCUGUAGUUCAUCUUGGUCCCGUUCUAUCAAUGUGAUGGCAUCCGCAAAUUUAAGGUGACUUAGCCUUUCGCCGUUUAUGAGGAUACUUUUUUCUGCCAGUUUAGCUAUGUAUGGCUGUUGCGAUGUAGCGUUUCCAUAUAUAUAUAUUUGUAUAUCAAUAAUCGAUUCUCGCAUUGCUUAGAGCAUUCAAUACUGCCUAUCUCUAUUGAGUCGAGUGCCUUUUCAUAGUCUAUCAGUAGUACUCGAAGUGUUAUGUUGUACUCAUUUACCUUUUCCAUUAAUGUUAUUGUUACAUGUAGGUGGUCUAUAGUGCUAAAAGCCUCGUUUGAAACCCGUUUGCCCUCUCGGUGGGUCUAUUUUAUUGAUUUGGAUCAGUCCAUCAGUUUAUACAAACCAGGGCCGGCACUCACGAUACAACGGCGUCGGGCCGCUUUUGUUGGAUGCAAUCGAUGAAUGUGAAAUAAAUAUGGGGUCCACUUAAGUCCACGAAUGUUUGGUAAACAAGGUACUUACGGAGGUUUACGACUAUUAACACGAUUGUGGGAUAAUUACUGGAAAUAAAAUUAUGAUAUAUA